rnacentral:sRNA from 1 species
AUUCAAAAAUUAAUAUAUUAUAACAUAAGAUUACUAAAGAUUUUUUUUUUCUCUGAUUUGAGCGAAAAUAUUGACCAACCGUAUGCUGCAACGUCACAUGAUACUGAGUAUCAAAGAUAUCAGUCCACUGAUACAAAUCAGACCCAAAUUUAUAAUUUGAUAUAAUUUUUGGUCUACUGAUAUCCAAAAUAAAUCACCCAUUGGUCCAUUUGGUGUUCUAGUGGCGGGCCCAAAUGAAGCCAAUAACAACACCUACAAGGCCACUACAGGCCCAACUCAACAAUUAUAGGCCCAUCUUU